GUACAGAAAUGUCCCAAACCCCUGAUUCUCUGUUUUCUAGGGUUUAACAGUUCAUCUUCUUCAUCGUCCCUCUGCUCUCUCUCGCCGUAGAAUCAUGUCACUAUACCGCCUCCUCCUCCGCUCUCUCCGCCGCACUUCAACCUCGCCAUCGCAUUCUCGACCUCUGAGCAUUGGUCCUCUCAGUCAACAUCUGCAGACCCCGAUUCUUCCAUCCUCGCAAAGCUCUUCUCUUAUUUCGCUUCUCCAUGCCCGCUCAUUUGCCUUUUCCUCUGCCGAAGAAGCUGCUGCCGAAAGACGCCGUAGAAAGCGCCGUCUUCGUAUCGAACCCCCUCUCCACGCUCUUCGCCGCGACAACUAUCCGCCCCCUCAGCGUGAUCCUAAUGCUCCUCGUCUUCCUGACUCCACAUCCGCUCUUGUGGGGCCUCGUCUGAGCCUUCACAAUCGUGUUCAAUCCCUAAUUCGUGCCGGUGAUCUUGAUGCGGCUUCUGCUGUCGCUCGCCACUCUGUGUUCUCGAACACCCGGCCCACGGUUUUCACUUGUAACGCUAUUAUUGCUGCCAUGUAUCGGGCCAAGAGGUAUGGUGAUGCGAUUGCACUGUUUCAGUUCUUCUUUAACCAGUCGAAUAUAGUUCCCAAUGUUGUGUCGUAUAAUAAUUUGAUUAAUGCUCAUUGCGAUGAGGGUCGUGUUGAUGUGGGUCUUGAGAUUUAUCGCCAUAUUAUUGCAAAUGCUCCGUUUAGUCCUUCGGCAGUAACUUAUCGGCAUUUGACCAAGGGAUUGAUUGAUUCUGGGAGGAUUGGGGAGGCUGUGGAUCUUCUGCGCGAAAUGUUGAAUAAAGGGCAUGGGGCUGAUUCGUUGGUUUAUAAUAAUUUGAUUUCCGGGUUUCUAAAUUUGGAGAAUUUGGAGAAGGCGAAUGAACUGUUUGAUGAGUUGAAGGAGAGGUGUUUGGUCUAUGACGGAGUUGUGAAUGCUACGUUCAUGGAUUGGUUCUUUAACAGGGGGAAAGAAAAGGAGGCCAUGGAAUCGUACAAGUCAUUGCUUGAUAGGCAAUUCAAGAUGAUUCCAGCCACUUGCAAUGUGCUGUUGGAGGUUUUGCUCAAGCAUGGGAAGAAAACGGAGGCUUGGACCUUAUUUGAUCAGAUGUUGGAUAAUCACACUCCUCCAAAUUUUCAAGCAGUCAAUUCAGACACGUUUAACAUAAUGGUUAAUGAGUGCUUUAAGCUUGGUAAGUUCUCAGAGGCAGUAGAGACUUUCCGGAAGGUGGGGACUCAACCAAAGUCGAGGCCUUUUGCGAUGGACGUUGCAGGGUAUAACAAUAUUAUUGUAAGGUUUUGUGAGCAUGGAAUGAUGGAAGAUGCAGAGACUUUUUUUGCUGAGCUUUGCUCGAAGUCCUUGUCCCCUGAUGUCCCAACUCAUAGGACAUUGAUCGAAGCUUAUUUAAAGCUUGAGCAGAUUGAUGAUGUAUUGAAAGUUUUCAACCGAAUGGUCGAUGUUGGUUUGAGAGUCGUAGCUAGCUUCGGAAACAGGGUAUUCGGCGAAUUGAUUAAGAAUGGCAAGGCAGUUGAAUGUGCUCAGAUUUUAACAAAAAUGGGAGAGAGGGAUCCUAAACCAGAUCCCACGUGCUAUGAUGUGGUGAUUAGAGGGCUAUGUAAUGAAGGUGCUCUCGAUGCUAGUCGGAUGUUGCUUGACCAGGUAAUGAGGUACGGUAUUGGCCUCACUCCCUCACUUCAGGAAUUUGUUAAAGAGGUAUUUGAAAAGGCUGGUCGGAAUGAAGAGAUUGAAAGACUGCUAAUGAUGAACAGAGGGGGACAUGCCCCUUAUCGCCCCACGUCUGGACCCCCAAGAAUUUCACAAUCGCAGGUCCCUCAAUUUAGAGGAAGUUAUGGCCCUUCAGCACCUCAAAUGACAGGCCCUAAUUAUAUUCAAUCAGGAUCAGUUCAAAUGACAAGACCACAACAGCCAUCAUCAGAUCCACCGCCCUCAAUGGAAGAACAGCAGCAGCAUUCACAACCCCCCCAAAUGGCUGGGCAGGCAGUAGCUUGAUUCUUUGCUUCCCAGGUUAUUGGAGGAUGAUAUUGUCAAAUUUUGACUUCGAGUUCAACGCAAUACUGCGAUGAAUUACAUACACCACCUCUUUGUGCCACUUGUCCUCUUAUUCAAGCUUUCUUGUUAGUACGAGGAUUUUGCAAUAUCCAUGGUGACUGCCUGAGAUAUUAUGUGUUUACCUAUAUAUUAAGAUCUGUAACAAUGCAAUAUCCUCGGAAUGCAGGGCAUAGUUUCUACUUCCAAACUAUAAUGGGAGAAUCUAAGAACACAUUCUUA